UUUGCGGUUCUUUGGAAUUUU
rnacentral:piRNA from 1 species